GUCAAACUGCACGUCACACUCGUAAUGGCCAUCCAUGGAGCUGUGGUAUUGUUGGAAAAAGCACUCUGUAGGUCUAUAGACCGAGGUUGUCCGUAUGCAGAAUAAAAUUGGCACAUCAAACAUUACAAAUAGAGGUAAUAUAAUUCAAUUUUAACCAACUAUUAAGCCUUCUAUCAUCUAUUUUUCAGAAUGUGUACGAUAAGCAUGCAAAUAUAUAGCUAUUGAAUAGUCAUAACACUGAUAAAUGUUGAUAAACUGUCAGCCAAAUAUCUCUGUAUAAACGCAAUUCCAACGAUGACUGGCGGAGAUGCGCUCUCCCACAGCGGUAAUCAAUAGGCGAAUGCAGGUACCCUGCCUCCUCGCAUACGCACUCUGUUGAUACAUCACCACGCAUUCUGACUCCACCGUGCAGUCUCUUAUUUCCAUCACUACUGCAUAUGAAGAAGAAUCACAAGGAUAACGGGUUUCUCCCUCAACAUCUGGAGCGCCACGUUUUACCACGCAGAGACAGACGCUCUGCCUCCGAGAAAGAGACGGAUACAUUGCAAAUCAAAACAGACUAUUUGACAUCAAUGAUAACAGCUUGAAGUACUACUCAAAUCUCAGAAAUCUAACUGUGACAAAUACCAGAUUGACUUCUAUCUCAUCACAGGCCUUUUUCAACAAUACAAGACUUCAAUAUCUGUAAGUACUGUAUAGUCUUUGAUUCAUUUUCUGUUUGGUGUUGUUCUUAUCUUUCUCCUCACAGAU
rnacentral:lncRNA from 1 species